AAGAUCUUCCAUGGGGAAUUACAUUUCUUGCGCCUUAGCGACGCCGUUGAUCAAGAAUUUGAAGGCGGUGAGGGUCGUGUUUCCAGGCGGCGAGGUCCGGCAGUUCCGGGAGUCGGUGAAGGCGGCGGAGCUCAUGCUCGAAUGUCCCAGUCACUUUCUCGCAAACGCCCAAUCUCUCCACAUCGGUCGCAGAUUCUCCGCCCUCUCCGCCGACGAGGAGUUGGAAUUCGGAAACGUCUACCUGAUGUUUCCGAUGAAGAGAGUUAACUCCGUUGUCACAGCGGCGGAUUUAGCCACGUUCUUCAUGGCAGCCAACUCCGCGGCCAGGCGGAUUUCGAGCGGUAAGGUUAGGGUUUUAGACGAGAAUCGGAAUCAUCUAGAAUCGGAAGCGAGACCGAUAAUUAGCGAUGAAAAUGAAGGUCCGAGGUUGAGUUUGGAAGGAAUCGAGGGAUUUCCGAUGCAUCGAUUGUCGGUUUGCCG
rnacentral:misc_RNA from 1 species